UUUGAGGGAAUGCAUUAUCAGAUGAUUAUGACAGAGUUUCAUUUCACAUUUCUUGAGGGUAGAACGGAAUCGGCAGAAAUCUGGUUCCAGAUCUGACAAGGGAAAAAAGGGCACAAAAAUUAAGAUAUCAAGGACACUACAGUAUUCUCCUUUUUUUUCGUGCAGUACAUGCAUCUUUUUACAUAUCAUAAGAUGCCUGAUACAAAGUGAACACACCCUUAUUAAUGAAAAGCUGAAGCUGUCAGUUACCAAUUCUAUGCACGCUGCAAUCUUCUUUUUAAUGAAGUAGAAAAACCUUCAUAGAAAACAUUACCUUCCCAUAUGAUCCCCAAACUUUCUGAUAAUCAUUGCAAUCAAUUGCUAUACACCUGCAUAACAAUUUCCUUGUUGACUAUUUUGUCCAUAUUCAUUAAUUAUCCUUGGAAAUGAAGCACUAGGUGUUUGGAUACCAUGGAGCUGUGCACAGAUCCUACUCCUUUAGAAUCACAAAGGUAAGCAAUAUUGAAGAAGACUAAUUCAACAUCAUGCUUAUACUGGCUUGAAUUUUCUUGUUUGGUGACUAUAAAUAAACCCUUUACUUUGUAGAUAUGCUUAUAAUCCAUACUCAUAUUACCUGAUGUAAAAUGACCAGAAAGACUCGUCAGAAGGAAGCAUCAUAGCCAAAUAAAGCUUGAUGGGUUGCUUCCCAAUAUAGAAUAACACACAAAAUAGUACUCCUUUUGAGGCGUCAGAUAACGAGAGAGGACAGGGAAAUAUCAUCAAGAAAUAAGUCUGCCCAUUUCCGAACUUCAUUGUGCACACUGUCUGUUUGAAAAUUCGUUGAAAAGUAGUGAGAAAUUACGUUUAGACGAAGUGUUGAAACUAAGUUAGAAGUUACAUCUUAAGUGAGAAACCAAGUUAACAUACUUGUAACUGCAUCUAUUAUUAGCACACUCAAAAUGAGAGUAGAGGAGAGAGAGACGAAGUUUGAUGCUAAAAGCACUCUCAAUAAUUAAACAACAUCAUAUAGUCUAUAAACCUGGUUCAAACCUUUUGAGAGAUUUAUAGCCGGUGGCUGCAUUCAAAAUAGGAAUAUUCAAGUGACACCUUAAAAAUCUGUACACCAUAGCAGAUUGCCAGCAGAACCCUUUGGUUCUGGAUAUGAUGAGUGUUGCAGUCAUGGGACCAACCACAUGGACCAGGGGUCUCUUGGCCUUCAAUUUUAUGCCUACUGGCAAGGAAAUCACUAACUCCAGAUUUUGAUUCAACCUAAAAUGCCAUGUUGAAAGGGACCAGUGCAGGUUGCUCACAAAUCACUCACAGACACUACUUCAAUAUUUUGUCUCCAACCAUGUACAAAAAGUCUUGAAAGUAAUAUUAAUGCAUGCAUCUCAAAAGGCACCACUCUUUGAUGUAUCAUUUGUAGCACUGGUCCCAAUAGGAAAAGAUUCCUUCCCUUCUUAUCGAUUACAGUCUUACUAUCGUUAAUGAAUGCAAGUCCAAGGUCUAUUUUCUUUCA